UAACAGAAACCAAGCAAAAACGUAAAAAACUCCAAUAUUUUGAAUCUUCCCGCCACCCACACACAAAAUCGUUUCGUUUCUUUUUGCUCAAAACGACAAAAAUGCUUUCGUUUCCUUCUCCUAUUGAACCCACUGUCGCCUCUGCUCUCCUCUCCACUACCACACCUCUUUCUCCCCCUCCUUCAAAGUACUUACUUGAUCGAUCAAAACUCGCUUUCUUUUGUUAAUUUCUUCUCGGAUUUCAACCAACGAUUUCGUUUUGGUUGUUUUUUUGAGGCUCGGUGUUGAUGGAGAGAAGAAAUCUGCGAAAGAGCAGUAGUGAAGAGGAGAGCUUGAGCUUGAGCUUGAGCUUUUUCAAGUGGUUCCAGCGCGGCUUCAAGCAAGCAAAAGCCACUUUAUGAAGACGAACGGAUUGAUGAUGAAGCCGGCCGGCUCGUGAUGAUCAGGAGGAGACGAAGAGGAUCAGAUCUGGCUUUGGCUCGCGUUACAUGAGCGGCCGAGCCGAAGCAACAUGGAGGCUGCUGUCAAGUGGUUGUUUCUCCGAAAUGAGGAUUCGUCGAGUGCUUGGCGACAGUACUCCUAGCACAAGCAAAGCUUUGAGAAAAAUACGGUGAAUUUCACCUGCUGUGGUGUAAUGUCAGGCUGUUAAAGCAAAAGGCGGUGAAAAGAUCUGGUGAAGGAGGGAGUCAUGACCAUUUAUACGGUAACGGGCUCUUCUCAUAAAUAUUUUACUGCUUUCCCAGUCCACUGAAAUGAUUAAUUUAUGAAAUUAGUCCAUAAAAAGUUA